rnacentral:misc_RNA from 1 species
UAAACGUCAAGAAUUGAGAGCUAGAACGCCGAUCUCUUUGUUACUUUUCUUUGUUCCUGGUUCUUGGGUUUCUGUCAAUUCUUCUUCCUUCCAUCUCGAUCUUCAUUUCUCCCUAUCUGGGUCUUUAAUUAUUGAAGCUUUUUCCUUGAAAUUGAUUGGUUCGAUAUUAUAAUAUUGGGUCACAAGCACAAGUAUUAGGGGACUUUGCUUGAUUUUCUUCUUCUUUUUAAUCUUGAUAUCCCAG